UACGUAGGGUGCGAGCGUUAAUCGGAAUUACUGGGCGUAAAGGGUGCGCAGGCGGCGUCGCAAGUCAGGCGUGAAAUCCCCGGGCUUAACCUGGGAACUGCACUUGAAACUACGAUGCUGGAGUAUGGCAGAGGGAGGUGGAAUUCCACGUGUAGCGGUGAAAUGCGUAGAGAUGUGGAGGAACACCGAUGGCGAAGGCAGCCCCCUGGGUUAACACUGACGCUCAGGCACGAAAGCGUGGGGAGCAAACAGG
rnacentral:rRNA from 1 species